AUGAUGUUGCCUCUGUAACGGCUGAGGUUUUCAUUUAUGUUUUCCUUAGAUCUGUGUAUUUAUAUGCUUUGUACCACCACUCGAACCGGAGGAAGCUCUCCUAUAAAUUUGUACGUUUCCACGGUGAAUUUUUCUUCGGAUAGUGUAUGAGCGAGAGAGAAAGGUUCACAUAGUACGACCGAGGAAGGUUGGAGCCCCGACGAACAGUGGACAGAAGAAGACGAUUGAUGUGUCUGGCAGAGCUGAUUGAAGUUUAUAGUGAGCUGAUAAUACUCAAGGAAUAAGCGCAGGACUAAGAAACUUAUGACUGCUACAAAUAGUGCAGUAGGGGAAAUCGAGUUGCUAAAGGAGUUGCUGUCCAAAGCUUGAUGUUUUUGCUGGUGCCUUUGCUGCUGAUAUUGGAGAUCUUGAGUUAAUCAACUCUUUACUUAAAGCUGGAGCUGAACCUAAUCAGAAAGACGAAGAGGAAGGCAGUAAGAAGUUGCAGCUCCGAGAGAAAACACUCUCUUCCCAUUGACAACAAAACCUGAAACUGUUUCAAAUUGGACCAUUGUUUGAGUUCUCGCUCACAUGGAACCAAAUAAAGAACAAUAGGGAAACUCAAACAAGUCAAAAUCUGGAGAGACUGUGCCUAAGAAAGACCUUGAGCCUCUGCUGGUUUCGGGUUAGGACAAGCUGAACAUGCCUUAUCUGAUGCUAAAGUCUGCAGAGAACUAAAACCUGAUUGGCCUAAAUGAUGUUUCCGAGAAGGUGCUACAGCGAUUUGAUGAGGCAGCCAAUGCUUUUUAUGAGUGAGUAAAGUAAAGCAAAGAGAUCAUUGAUACGUUCAGAGAAACUGUAGAUGCUCGAAGGAAGUUUCACGGCAAGUACAAGAUUAAGGUCAAAACCAUCUAGAAAUGGCUCUGUUUAGUAUAUGUUUCAAGUUUUGUUUCUGCUUCUUACCUUAGUCUCUCCCCUUUGUAGUUUUUUU